AUUCAACCAGUGAAUGAUUUCCAGAGCAAUGGCACAUCAAAUUAAUAUGGCUACUGCUCUCUUUGAAUUUAUAUUCUACUGAGGGAUAUAAACGCUCCUGUUGCUGGGACACCUGCUCCCCCAAAGGCUGUGCUGAAACUCGAGCCCCAGUGGAUCAACGUGCUCCAGGAGGACUCUGUGACUCUGACAUGCCGGGGGACUCACAGCCCUGAGAGCGACUCCAUUCAGUGGUUCCACAAUGGGAAUCUCAUCCCCACCCACACGCAGCCCAGCUACAGGUUCAAGGCCAACAACAAUGACAGCGGGGAGUACACGUGCCAGACUGGCCAGACCAGCCUCAGCGACCCUGUGCAUCUGACUGUGCUUUCCG
rnacentral:sRNA from 1 species